UCGGGUGACAGGGAGACAGGUGGUGCAUGGUUGUCGUCAGCUCGUGUCGUGAGAUGUUGGGUUAAGUCCCGCAACGAGCGCAACCCCUACGUUUAGUUGCUAACGCGUGAAGGCGAGCACUCUAGACGAACUGCCGUUGACAAAACGGAGGAAGGUGGGAUGACGUCAAAUCAUCAUGCCCCUUAUGUUCUGGGCUACACACGUGCUACAAUGGCCGGUACAGACGGACGCAAAGCCGCGAGGUGGAGCAAAUCCUAAAAAGCCGGUCUCAGUUCGGAUUGCAGGCUGCAAUUCGCCUGCAUGAAGUCGGAAUCGCUAGUAAUCGCAGGUCAGCAUACUGCGGUGAAUACGUUCCCGGGCCUU
rnacentral:rRNA from 2 species